GCCAGACUCCUACGGGAGGCAGCAGUGAGGAAUAUUGGUCAAUGGCCGAGAGGCUGAACCAGCCAAGUCGCGUGAGGGAAGAAUGUCCUAUGGAUUGUAAACCUCUUUUGUCAGGGAGCAAAGUCACCCACGUGUGGCGUUCCGAGAGUACCCGAAGAAAAAGCAUCGGCUAACUCCGUGCCAGCAGCCGCGGUAAUACGGAGGAUGCGAGCGUUAUCCGGAUUUAUUGGGUUUAAAGGGUGCGCAGGCGGCGAGUUAAGUCAGGGGUAAAAUUUCGGGGCUCAACCCCGACAAGCCGUUGAAACUGGCUUGCUAGAGUGGGCGAGAAGUAUGCGGAAUGCGCGGUGUAGCGGUGAAAUGCAUAGAUAUCGCGCAGAACUCCGAUUGCGAAGGCAGCAUGCCGGCUCCACACUGACGCUGAGGCACGAAAGCGUGGGUAUCGAACAGGAUUAGAUACCCCUGUA
rnacentral:rRNA from 1 species